CUUCGUCAGAUUCGAAAAUAUAUGUCGUCUAGACGAUUAUCACAUUUUUCAUCCAGUUGUGGGUGGUCUUGACGUCGUCUGCUGCACGACUUCUUUCUGAAAAUGUCCUCACUCCAUCAUUUUCGAAUAUUGCAUUUUAUGUACAGAGUUUCUAAAAAGUCAUCAUCAUCCAUAUACACGAUGAUGAUUCAGUUUUUUUUUACAGUUCCAUCCUCUAGAGAAACCAAAGUUUUGGCAGCGACACCGAGUGAAGACCUCCAUUUUGUUGUCGAGUUUGAAUUAAUUCAACACAACCCGAGACGUGCUUAAGGGUUACAGGUGCCACUUCAAUUUACUUCCACUAAUUUGAACAACAAACCAAAACAGUAUUUAAAAUAGCAACGAGUUUUUUGAGCCACACGCAUCAACGUUCGAUUUUGUUAUUUUCACCGACUCCAAAAAAAGGAGACAACUAAAUCUUUCUUUCCCAAACAAGUGGAACUGCUCUGGUAACAGAUAGAAAUCGGCCUCUUUUCUCACGAAACAAAAAGGGAAGUUCUACUGAUGACGAUCGAUAUACAAACCGUGUAUGGACUUGACCGUAUAUCAAAUAAGCACGCGAUUUGCAUUCGAUCCCGCUGGAAAUAUUUAGCUGAAUGUUGCGACUGUUGCGUGCAUAUCAGUAGGGUGCGGCAACCACAAAACCCAAAAAGUACGCAUUUAAAAAGAAAAUUUGACAUGAAAUCCCUUUUAAUCAUUUCUCUUUCAGAAGAAACAAACAAAUUCGUGACUAUAAUAAUUUACUACAACAUACGUAAAAAAAAACGAACAUACUUUCUAUCUUUAUAAUCUCUGACGUUUAGGAAUUUUCAGCUAUAUCAUUGGUUUAAAUGGUGGCUCAACUCAAGUGGAUUUCAAGAUGACCACCAUAAAAACCAUUUGGGGGAAAAACAUUUA